GAGUUUGAUCUUGGCUCAGAUUGAACGCUGGCGGCAGGCUUAACACAUGCAAGUCGAGCGGAAACGAUGUAGCUUGCUACAGGCGUCGAGCGGCGGACGGGUGAGUAACGCGUAGGAAUCUGCCUAGUAGUGGGGGACAACAUGUGGAAACGCAUGCUAAUACCGCAUACGCCCUACGGGGGAAAGGAGGGGAUCUUCGGACCUUUCGCUAUUAGAUGAGCCUGCGUAAGAUUAGCUAGUUGGUAGGGUAAAGGCCUACCAAGGCGACGAUCUUUAACUGGUCUGAGAGGAUGGCCAGUCACACUGGGACUGAGACACGGCCCAGACUCCUACGGGAGGCAGCAGUGGGGAAUAUUGGACAAUGGGCGCAAGCCUGAUCCAGCCAUGCCGCGUGUGUGAAGAAGGCCUUAGGGUUGUAAAGCACUUUCAGGGGUGAGGAAGGGUGUUUGGUUAAUAUCCAAACAUUUUGACGUUAGCCCCAGAAGAAGCACCGGCUAACUCUGUGCCAGCAGCCGCCGUAAAACCG
rnacentral:rRNA from 1 species